GCAAGUCGAGGGGCAGCGGGGAUAAGCUUGCUUAUCCGCCGGCGACCGGCGCACGGGUGCGCAACGCGUAUAGAAUCUACCUUGUACUGGGGAAUAGCCCAGAGAAAUUUGGAUUAAGGCCCCAUGGUAUGUAGGAGCGGCAUCGCUUCUACAUUAAAGGCUACGGUACAAGAUGACUAUGCGUCCCAUUAGUUAGUUGGUAAGGUAACGGCUUACCAAGACAGCGAUGGGUAGGGGCCCUGAGAGGGGGAUC
rnacentral:rRNA from 1 species